rnacentral:rRNA from 1 species
GACGAACGCUGGCGGCGUGCCUAAUACAUGCAAGUUGAGCGAUGAAGAUUGGUGCUUGCUCCAAUUUGAAGAGCAGCGAACGGGUGAGUAACGCGUGGGGAAUCUGCCUUUGAGCGGGGGACAACAUUUGGAAACGAAUGCUAAUACCGCAUAACAACUUUAAACAUAAGUUUUAAGUUUGAAAGAUGCAAUUGCAUCACUCAAAGAUGAUCCCGCGUUGUAUUAGCUAGUUGGUGAGGUAAAGGCUCACCAAGGCGAUGAUACAUAGCCGACCUGAGAGGGUGAUCGGCCACAUUGGGACUGAGACACGGCCCAAACUCCUACGGGAGGCAGCAGUAGGGAAUCUUCGGCAAUGGACGAAAGUCUGACCGAGCAACGCCGCGUGAGUGAAGAAGGGUUUCGGAUCGGAAAACUCUGUUGGUAGGGAAGAACGUUGGUGAGAGUGGAAAGCUCAUCAAGUGACGGUAACUACCCAGAAAGGGACGGCUAACUACGUG